GACGGAGGGUGCUAGCGUUGUUCGGAAUCACUGGGCGUAAAGGGCGCGUAGGCGGCUUUGGCAGUCGGCUCGUGAAAGCCCGGGGCUCAACCCCGGAGGUGCGGCCGAUACACCAAGGCUGGAGGCCGGAAGAGGAGGGUGGAAUACCCAGUGUAGAGGUGAAAUUCGUAGAUAUUGGGUGGAACACCGGUGGCGAAAGCGGCUCUCUGGUCCGGUACUGACGCUGAGGCGCGAAAGCGUGGGGAGCAAACAGG
rnacentral:rRNA from 1 species